rnacentral:rRNA from 1 species
UGAAAAGAACUUUGGAGAGAGAGUUAAAAGCACGUGAAACCGUUGAAAGGGAAACGCGCUCGGCUAGCAAUGUGCCUCGGCGGUUCAGCCGGUUUGGGGGUGGAGGUCGUCGUUGUCGGAUCCGAAUGGACCGUGGCGGUGGCCGUCCGCACUCGAGCCGCGGUGCACUCUGCCGGGGUACGCGUCAGCGUCGGUUCGCAGUUCAGGCGAUAAGGCACGGAGGGAAGGUAGCUCCUGGCUUGCCAGGAGCAUUAUAGCCCAUUGUGCUGGGUCUGGUGCGGACCGAGGAGAGAGAGGAUCGCUGCAGCGCAUGCCGCAAGGCUAGCUGCCCGUCGCUCGGUACGCUUCACAGGCUGAGGACUGCACGCAGUGUUCGGCUUGGCGGAGUUGCCAGGCGGUGGAGUGGUAUAAAUGCGCUUAGGACGCUGGCGUCCAAAUGGCCGUGCGCGACCCGUCUUGAAACACGGAA